rnacentral:lncRNA from 1 species
AUUCUUUACUCAAAAAUAUUAUCUUUCAAAAAUGAAGGUGAAGGAUGACUUUUUCAGACAUACAAAUGCUAAAUGAAUUCAUCGUCAGCUGACCAGCACUAGAAGAAAUGUCAAAGAAAAAACCUGAGGCAGAAGGAAAAUGAUACUACAGAGAAAUUUAGAUCUACUCAGAAACAAAAAGAGAACCAAAAACUGUACAUACGUUGGAAUGUGGGGAUGCCUCAAGAUCCCUGACUGCUUGCUCAAGACCACUCCAAGUCAUUUUGUGCAGAACUGAUUGAGAGGUGCAAUUCUGAGUAGUGUUAAAAGUAGUAUGCAUUCUAGACUGGGCACAGGGGCUCACGCCUGUAAUCCCAGCACUUGGCGGAUCACCUGAAGUCAGGAGUUCGAGAGCAGCCUGGCC